rnacentral:rRNA from 1 species
AGAGCGAACGCUGGCGGCAGGCCUAAUACAUGCAAGUCGAACGAACCCUUCGGGGUUAGUGGCGGACGGGUGAGUAACACGUGGGAACGUGCCUUUUGGUUCGGAACAACUCAGGGAAACUUGAGCUAAUACCGAAUGUGCCCUUCGGGGGGAAAGAUUUAUCGCCAUUAGAGCGGCCCGCGUCUGAUUAGCUAGUUGGUGGGGUAAAGGCCCACCAAGGCUACGAUCAGUAGCUGGUCUGAGAGGAUGAUCAGCCACACUGGGACUGAGACACGGCCCAGACUCCUACGGGAGGCAGCAGUGGGGAAUUUUGCGCAAUGGGGGAAACCCUGACGCAGCAACGCCGCGUGGAGGAUGAAGUCUCUUGGGACGUAAACUCCUUUCGAUUGGGAAGAUAAUGACGGUACCAAUAGAAGAAGCCCCGGCUAACUUCGUGCCAGCAGCCGC